UCCAGACUCCUAGGGAGGCAGCAGUGGGGAAUAUUGCACAAUGGGGGAAACCCUGAUGCAGCGACGCCGCGUGAGCGAAGAAGUACCUCGGUAUGUAAAGCUCUAUCAGCAGGGAAGAAGAUGACGGUACCUGACCAAGAAGCUCCGGCUAAAUACGUGCCAGCAGCCGCGGUAAUACGUAUGGAGCAAGCGUUAUCCGGAUUUACUGGGUGUAAAGGGAGCGCAGGCGGCCUUGCAAGUCUGAUGUGAAAGGCCGGGGCCCAACCCCGGGACUGCUCUUGGAACUGCGCGGCUGGAGUGCAGGAGGGGCAGGCGGAAUUCCUGGUGUAGCGGUGAAAUGCGUAGAUAUCACGCAGAACUCCGAUUGCGAAGGCAGCGCACCGGCGCCCUACUGACGCUCAGGCACGAAAGCGUGGGUAUCGAACAGGAUUAGAUACCCCCGUAA
rnacentral:rRNA from 1 species